GUCCUGAAUUCCUCUUUGCCGAUGCAGAAGCUUGUAGCUUGUUGCACAACUUCAGAAGCUGAAGGACAGAGCGGCACUGACCUUUCCCAAAUUAGUUCUUUUGCCAUUAGCCUACUGUACAGAAGGGGAGUCUGUGAUGACAGCAAUAUUUUCACUGAAAGAAUAUUCAGUGAGUCAGUGUGGGGCUUGCACCCUGUGAAAUGGGGAACAGAAGAACUCUUCACAGCUGUCUGAUACCUUCAGCUCCCAGCUUGAGGAGAGCUCGGUUUAACUAAGUACAUCAGUGCACCCUAUGAGAUACUGGGCUCCCUGUCACCAGAGAGUUGAAAUCUCUCAGAACCUGAUGGAAUGAAGUCUCAGUUUCAAUAAAACACUGCUGUGGAGAGUAACUGGCUGCCAUAAAGCCUUUAAUGUGAGCAGCUUUGUGAUCCCACCUGCAGCCCAGCUCCUUCCCCCUCUUCUUCAGGUGGCCACUGUGGUGAACAACCUGCGUCUGGCUGAUGUAGCACCUUCCUCUCUGUGGGGCUGCUUAGGUGCCAGUCUGGAAAAAAACUAUUUCAAAAUUAUUUCUCUUAAAAACAAGUGUGUUGACAACACGACUUUACAAGACACUUGCACACAGUCCAACACUCAUCAAUACUCAGUGCAUUUAUUUCCAAGAAAGGGAAGACUGAUUUUCUGUCAUUAGGUAUCAGUUCACACUCCUGGGUGAUAAAAGCUGAGGUGGCAGGAAAAUGGAUCAAGAAAACCCUCAUUCACUUCGCCCUCCAACUUCUCAGCACUGUACGCUUUCUCCUGCCAGGUGUCUAAUAAAUGUUUCUGCCCUGGGAACUAACGUCUGUUGAACUCAUCUACAAGUAGCAAUGGUCUGGAAAGUGCUGAUACGUUCAGUUGGCCAGCAUCAAAAAGAAGAAAGUUUUGUGGCCACUCAGCGAGACAUACUUCAGAUUCCUGAGCAUAACUUGGAAUGAAAAAAAUUAAUCUUUGAUUUAUCUUUGAGUAUGUAGGCUUUUUUUUUAUUAUUUUUUUCCCAGGUCUGUGUCUAUGAUU